rnacentral:rRNA from 1 species
AUUGAACGCUGGCGGAAUGCUUUACACAUGCAAGUCGAACGGCAGCACGGACUUCGGUCUGGUGGCGAGUGGCGAACGGGUGAGUAAUGUAUCGGAACGUGCCCAGUCGUGGGGGAUAACGUAGUGAAAAUUACGCUAAUACCGCAUACGAUCUAUGGAUGAAAUCGGGGGAUCGCAAGACCUCGCGCGAGUGGAGCGGCCGAUAUCAGAUUAGGUAGUUGGUGGGGUAAAGGCCCACCAAGCCAACGAUCUGUAGCUGGUCUGAGAGGACGACCAGCCACACUGGAACUGAGACACGGUCCAGACUCCUACGGGAGGCAGCAGUGGGGAAUUUUGGACAAUGGGCGAAAGCCUGAUCCAGCCAUUCCGCGUGCAGGAUGAAGGCCCUCGGGUUGUAAACUGCUUUUGUACAGAACGAAAAGGUUUCUACUAAUACUAGGAGCUCAUGACGGUACUGUAAGAAUAAGCACCGGCUAACUACGUGCAGCAGCCGCCGCAGUAA